CUCAAUUGGAAAGAGGAGUGGCGGACGGGUGAGUAACACGUGGGUAACCUACCCAUCAGAGGGGGAUAACACUUGGAAACAGGUGCUAAUACCGCAUAACAGUUUAUGCCGCAUGGCAUAAGAGUGAAAGGCGCUUUCGGGUGUCGCUGAUGGAUGGACCCGCGGUGCAUUAGCUAGUUGGUGAGGUAACGGCUCACCAAGGCCACGAUGCAUAGCCGACCUGAGAGGGUGAUCGGCCACACUGGGACUGAGACACGGCCCAGACUCCUACGGGAGGCAGCAGUAGGGAAUCUUCGGCAAUGGACGAAAGUCUGACCGAGCAACGCCGCGUGAGUGAAGAAGGUUUUCGGAUCGUAAAACUCUGUUGUUAGAGAAGAACAAGGACGUUAGUAACUGAACGUCCCCUGACGGUAUCUAACCAGAAAGCCACGGCUAACUACGUGCCAGCAGCCGCGGUAAUACGUAGGUGGCAAGCGUUGUCCGGAUUUAUUGGGCGUAAAGCGAGCGCAGGCGGUUUCUUAAGUCUGAUGUGAAAGCCCCCGGCUCAACCGGGGAGGGUCAUUGGAAACUGGGAGACUUGAGUGCAGAAGAGGAGAGUGGAAUUCCAUGUGUAGCGGUGAAAUGCGUAGAUAUAUGGAGGAACACCAGUGGCGAAGGCGGCUCUCUGGUCUGUAACUGACGCUGAGGCUCGAAAGCGUGGGGAG
rnacentral:rRNA from 1 species